AAAAAAAAAUUAAUGAAAAAAUAUUUCCGAUUGCAUGUGUGUGUGUGUGUUUGUUCAUGUUCAUGUGUUCUUCGACUUAACUUUGAUGAUCUGAACAACGAUGUUUCCUUUUUGUUUUCUAUGGUCCCACAUGAUUUGAUUUCACAGCUUAUGUUGCGAUGGCAAUGAUUUUUAUAAUAAAACGGAAGCAAUAACAAAGCCAUGUUGUGUGUGUUACGUGCUUAAGUGGUUUAUCGAGUGUAAUUAUGUUAAAUUUUGUGGUCUAUCUUUGUGCGCUAUACUCAAUUAAAAUCUGUGCUAAGGAAGGGAGAAUAGAAUUUUUAACAACGCCUCGAAUUUAAUAUUUUCGUAAAUUAUUUGCACAAAAAAAAAAAAAACAAAAAAAAAAAUUAUUUUUUAAAUUUCAAAAAAUUUGUACAAAAAAAAUGAACAAAAAGAAAAUCGCUUUGUAUAUAUUUGUUGCUGCUAAAACAACUAAUAGCGAGCUAAGCGUAAUGGAUAUUUUGAUAAUUUAGUUAAUAAGUUUUAGAAAAAAAAAAGUAAAAAAAGAAACAAAGGCAGCUCAAGCCAUACGUACGUAACUAUAGGCAUGAAAUCAGAUUUUGCAUCAACCACUUUCUUAUUACGCUGUCGCGAAGUGUGUAAGUGAGUAUCAAAUAAGUAAGUGAUUAACUGACGAUUCGCAAAUUUAAUAGUCAGUAAAGUGCAUUCAAUAAAACAAUUUUUUUAAACUUUUAUUUAAGCGAACAAAAGGUAAUGAAAAUAUCAGUAAAUUCUCUCCUCGCCGGCCGAGAGGGGGAAAGAUAAAUUGCGAAAAUAUCGCACACAGCAUAUACAAAUAUGUCGAACAUAUUUAUAUAUCUGCAGCUGAAAAGAAAACAACUUGUGAAAAUUGUAUUUAAAUGGUAUCUGUUAACUCAUAUAGAAGUGACGAGCAGAUUUGUACAAGCGUACAACGUGGUUAUAGAAACACAUAGUAUAUGCGACAAUACUGGUUUUCCAUUUUUCGUAUGAUUUUGCUGUACAUUGCAGGAGGCACAAAAGAAAAUACUACUCAAAAAAAAAAAAAAAA